CAAACGACUCACGGCAACGGAUAUCUCGGCUCACGCAUCGAUGAAGAACGUAGCAAAAUGCGAUACUUGGUGUGAAUUGCAGAAUCCCGUGAACCAUCGAGUUUUUGAACGCAAGUUGCGCCCGAAGCCAUCCGGCUGAGGGCACGUCUGCCUGGGCGUCACG
rnacentral:rRNA from 1 species